rnacentral:tRNA from 1 species
GAGGGUAUAGCUCAGUGGUAGAGUGCAUGCUUGGCAUGCACAAGGUCCUGGGUUCAAUCCUCAGUACCUCCA